CAAAGGAAACAGCAGUCCAGACUCUGAUUCCAGCUCCAACAUGAAGAGAGAGGACACUUGGCUUCCAUGUACGAGGAACACAAGUCCCAGAUUGUGUCACUCUUUCAGAAGAUGCCCUCAGAUUCAGAUCCAUCAACAACCCCUGAC